CAAGUUGGAAAAUGUUCCUCAUGUGAAUGUUUAGAGUAUACUGAAAGUAAGUUUUGAUAAAUUAGAUUUCCGGCAACAGCAUAUAUUCCUUGAUAUAGCUUGUCAUUUCAUUGGAUAUAACAAAGACAUUAUGAUUCAUUUUUGGGAAAAAAUUAAACUUUUUCCCGAAGAAGCUAUUGAAGUUCUGCAGAACAUGUCUUUGAUAAAGAUUAUGGAGAACAAAGAAGUGUGGAUGCAUGACCAACUCGGAGACCUCGGAAGAGAAAUAGUCCGUCAAAAAAGUGAGAUAGAAAUAGAGAAGCAAAGUAGGGUGUGGAAUCCCGAGGAAGCAUUGGACUUGCUGACAAAACAUGAGGGAAACAAAGUGGAAGCUCUUCGUCUCAAGUUUGACCAUGAGGGGCAGCACCGUUUUACCUACGAGGACUUUAGGAGAUUAUCACAUCUAAAGUUCCUUUCAGUUGAGGGUUCGAAGGAAAAAUUUCUUGCAGAGGAGAGGCUUAUUUGGUAUGAAUCGCCUUCAAGUGGUCUUCCAACUAAUGAGAAUUCAUAUCUCAUCCCACGAUUACGAUGGCUUUCCUGGUGUGAUAUUCCCCUUACAUUUAACAUAACAAAAUUCUCCAUGAAGGAUGUGGUUAUUCUUGAUCUAUCCGGGAGUGAAAUUAAGCAUAAUUGGAAGGGGUGGAGCCACCUGGAGGUAUGUUAUAUGCUAGACAACACUUAAUUUUUCGUCUUUUAUUAGACGCAAAAGUAAUCUUUGCAUGAUUUUUCUUUUACAGGUGAUGACGAAUCUGAAAGUUCUGAAUUUGACCGGUUGCCAUCUCUUGGAGAAAACUCCCACCUUCACUGCUUCGGUAAAUAUAGAACGUUUGAUCCUACGGGACUGUAAAUCACUAGUCGAAAUUGACUCGUCGAUCUGUUGCUUGAAACGCUUGGUUUACUUAGAUGCAAGCUCUUGCACGAAUCUUUGCAAGCUGCCAGAUGACCUGGGUAAACAUCUUGCAAGUCUUAUGCACCUUCAACUAGGGACGCUGUACAUGGACACGUUUCCAGAUCUCUCGAACCUGAGUAAUUUGAAGGAAUUGGAUCUGACAUUUCGCCCGCCCGAUUUUGAUGAGAUGUCUAAUGGGCUCGGGGAAUGUUCGAUGCCACGGUGGAUUGGUAACUUGAGCAAGCUGGAGUCUCUGGUCCUGCGCUCUGAUUAUGUGACCACCUCACCGGCGGGCCUUAGCCUCCCUCCUCAACUCAAGUCACUUCGCCUCGAGUGCUCUAAUCUGCGUUGCCUCCCGAGGCUUCCCUCAAGCAUAUCCUCCAUGCAGCUGUACGAUUGCAAGUCACUUUGCUCGGCGAUGGAUCUAACGAAUUUCAAGAAUCUAUCAUCUCUCCAGAUUAGUCGCGCUGCAAUUACAAAACUUCAAGGCCUUGGUUGUUUAAAGAACCUACGAGAUUUGCAGCUUAAUUGGCUGGGACAGGUAAAGAUGCUACCUGAUCUAAGCAAGUUAAACAAACUAGGGCAUCUUCGAGUACGAUCUUGCGAUAAUCUGGUUGAGAUUCAAGGCGAACUACCGCUGUCUUUGGAUAAAGUGCGUAUUUCUAGCUGUCGUUCUUUAUGGAAGUUGCCUGAUCUGUCAAGCUUAAUGGGUAAGACAGAUGUUGAAAUAGACUAUUGCGAUAGAGUUCUUGAACAUGUUGGCAUGAAUCGACAAGAUUUGGAGCUCGUUGGCCUUAAACAGUUGCAGGUCCUACCUGACCUGAGCAAUUCAAAUGAACUACGACGUCUUCGAGUAGAAAAUUGCAGUAAUCUGGGUGAGAUUCAAGGCGAGCUACCACAAUCUUUGGAAGAAUUGGAGAUUUCUUCAUGUGAAUCUUUAAAGGAGUUGCCUGAUCUAUCCAGAUUGAAGAAACUGCAAAAGGUUGACAUAGAAGGUUGCACGAAAUUAGAGAUGAAGGCAAUUCUCGGCUCUGCUCGGAGAAGUCAGGCGAGUUUGUGGGAGAACCUAGGACAUUUGCGGAUUUGUGGGCUUGGACAGGUGGAGAUACUACCUGAUCCAAGUAAUUUCAACAAACUACGACGUCUUCACGUAGAAGAUUGUGGUAAUCUGAUUGAGAUUCAAGGCAAACUACCACAAUCUUUGGAAGAAUUGGAGAUUGAUUCCUGUAAAUCUUUGCGGAAGUUGCCUGAUUUGUUGAGCUUGAAUGGACUGCAAAAGGUUAAAAUCCAUCGUUGCUACAAUUUAGAUGUGGAGGCACUUUCUAGGCUUUGCUCAGAGAAGUCAAUCAUAUUUGUGGACGAAGACUGAUGAAUCUGAAUCCAAGGGAGAAGACGAUGCAUAAGUGCACGUUGCACUUGAAAAGCUUCCUGACCCAUGACCACAAAUUGUUCCCUUGUGUUCAAACCUUAAACGAAUUGAGUUUGUUUUCCAGGAAAGGUGUGUUUCUUAAUGGAAUUUGCAAAUGUUAUGGAGAAGUUAUAAAAUGAAGAAAGACGAAUUUCACUUGGGUAGCGGCAUCAAUAGUUGGUGCGGCAAAGCUUCCAUCGGUGACAGGAGAGGAGAACUAUUUUGCUCGUCCAAGGGAGCUGUGGCUAAUUGGGCAGCUUUUCAAAUGAAGA